CGGGACCUUCCUCAGGGUCAAAAAAUAGAACAACAGAACAAUUUGUUCUGUUGUUCUAUUUUUUGACCCUGAGGAAGGUCCCG